AACGAACGCUGGCGGCAUGCCUAACACAUGCAAGUCGAACGAAGCCUUCGGGCUUAGUGGCGCACGGGUGCGUAACGCGUGGGAAUCUGCCCUUUGGUUCGGAAUAACAGUUGGAAACGACUGCUAAUACCGGAUGGUGACGAAAGUCCAAAGAUUUAUCGCCAGAGGAUGAGCCCGCGUAGGAUUAGCUAGUUGGUGUGGUAAAGGCGCACCAAGGCGACGAUCCUUAGCUGGUCUGAGAGGAUGGUCAGCCACACUGGGACUGAGACACGGCCCAGACUCCUACGGGAGGCAGCAGUGGGGAAUAUUGGACAAUGGGCGAAAGCCUGAUCCAGCAAUGCCGCGUGAGUGAUGAAGGCCCUAGGGUUGUAAAGCUCUUUUACCCGGGAUGAUAAUGACAGUACCGGGAGAAUAAGCCCCGGCUAACUCCGUGCCAGCAGCCGCCGUAA
rnacentral:rRNA from 1 species